UCCGGCCACAUCACCUCCAUUGAAGGCGGCCGGUGGAGCAUUGGCACAUCUCGCGGUUGCUCACCUAUAAAAGGAACCCCAAGCUACGCUCCUCGCCACCACCGAGCUCGCCGGGCCAUCCCGCUCUGCCGCUCAUCUUCUUCCUCGCUCCAAUUUCGUCAUUGCUCUGUUCUUCGCCGAGAACAGAGCCAUCCCGUCGAUCUCCUCCAUCAUGCCGCGUUGUUCUGAUUGCCUCGAUGCCGACGGAGUGACCGAGGAGGAGAACGCCGAGGAGUUUGGAGAUCAGUACCGCAAGCCAGAGCCAGAAGACCCGUACCGUGAGCAGGAACUUCCGGAAGGCUUUGAAGGCGGCAAGUUCAAUCUCAUCCUUUGAUGCAUAUUUAUCCCAAUUUUAUAAACACAACCUAUUGGCAUGUUUUAUAAAAUGCAUUGUUUUAUUGCAAGACAUUGUUGGAUAGCCACCAUUUGAUUGUUAUGACUAUUCCUUGAUGACCUAGGUUAAUGUCUAUUUAUGAUCUGCUCUGAUGGACGUUAACUAUUGCUAGAAACGCUUAGGGUCUUGUUUCUCAUUUUAUGACUUUACAAAUAUAAUCAUCAAGCGUUUUUCAAAUAAAGAAAAGCGUGAGUCUUGAGAAAGGGUAAAGGGAAGUGUUGGAGAGUAAAGAAAUGAGUAAUUAGACGAAAUGGAUGAAUGGCAUAUCUGUGUGACUUGCCAUAUGGUAGGCUCGUACCUGUUGUGGUUGAGCAAGGUGGGAAGAUAUCUAUUUUGUCACAAUUAAGGACCGAGUUGAUGUGUCAUCUUGCCUAACCCACUUAUCGUACAACCACUCGACCGUCGUGUGGGCAAUGGCUUAGCAUAAACCCCACUAGUUGUUUUGCUAGCCAAUAGGAGAGCUGGUGAGCAACGGGAGAUCAUGAAAAGGGAAUACGAUCUGUGUGAGCUAGGUUCUGGUUAUGACAUCAACCCCAUGAUUGCUUCCGUGUUGGCUAGUUAGAUUCAGCUAAGGUGGGUAAUGGCUUUGAUAGGAUCCGCAGCGACACUAAGGUGUUUGUGAGGUGGUACCCUACUUGUGGGUAAAGUGUACAACCUCUGCAGAGUGUAAAAUAUAUUCGAAUAGCCGUGUCCACGGUAUUGGACGAGUUACAGCAUGGUCACUUCACUAGGCAUUUGGGAUGGUUGGUUUUGUGGUGUGAGUUGUUUUGGAAGCAUCCGGCAGUUGUGCCAUGGGCUACUAUGGACGGAGAGUCCGGUAGCAUUAAAACUUGGGUCCUUUAUGUAGGAUCAACUCCACUUAGUAUUCGAUUACUAAAGAAAUAUUUUGAGAAAACCCUUUUAUAAAAUAAACCCCUUGCAUGUGUAAGCUUUUCAGCGAAUAAACCGUGGGCUUAUCAUUGAUAUAUCCUGUGCAUAUUCUCGUUGUAACCCCUCCGUGGGUGUGGUUGGACUUGUUGAGUACGUAUGUACUCACUCUUGCUUAGUUUUUACAGAGGAAGACCCAGACUUCGUGCCCGAAGACGUUGAGUAGGUGAUCGUCCUGCACCCAAUCUUGCUUGUGGUUCAGGGUCUCCACAGGAAGCUUCUAAUGGCGCAAGACUCUGAUGUUAUCUUAGAUUUCGCUGACAUUUUAGUUUGGCUUGUAGUACUUAUGUUGUCUCUCGUGUUAGUGGUGCUUCAGUGCCCACUACCUCGAUGGUUUGUACGGUAAUGAACCAUCUGAUGUAAUAAAUGUGUUAUCAGCC